CCUACGGGGGACAGCAGUGGGGAAUAUUGGACAAUGGGGGCAACCCUGAUCCAGCCAUGCCGCGUGUGUGAAGAAGGCCCUCGGGUUGUAAAGCACUUUCAGUGAGGAAGAACGCCUGGUGGUUAAUACCCAUCAGGAAAGACAUCACUCACAGAAGAAGCACCGGCUAACUCCGUGCCAGCAGCCGCGGUAAUACGGAGGGUGCGAGCGUUAAUCGGAAUUACUGGGCGUAAAGCGCGCGUAGGUGGCUUGAUAAGCCGGUUGUGAAAGCCCCGGGCUCAACCUGGGAACGGCAUCCGGAACUGUCAAGCUAGAGUGCAGGAGAGGAAGGUAGAAUUCCCGGUGUAGCGGUGAAAUGCGUAGAGAUCGGGAGGAAUACCAGUGGCGAAGGCGGCCUUCUGGACUGACACUGACACUGAGGUGCGAAAGCGUGGGUAGCAAACAGGAUUAGAUACCCCGGUAGUC
rnacentral:rRNA from 1 species